rnacentral:rRNA from 1 species
CGCUGGCAGUGCGUCUUAAGCAUGCAAGUCAAACGGGAUGUAGCAAUACAUCUAGUGGCGAACGGGUGAGUAACGCGUGGAUGAUCUACCUACGAGAUGGGGAUAACUAUUAGAAAUAGUAGCUAAUACCGAAUAAAGUCAAUUAAUUUGUUAAUUGAUGAAAGGAAGCCUUUAAAGCUUCGCUUGUAGAUGAGUCUGCGUCUUAUUAGCUAGUUGGUAGGGUAAAUGCCUACCAAGGCGAUGAUAAGUAACCGGCCUGAGAGGGUGAACGGUCACACUGGAACUGAGAUACGGUCCAGACUCCUACGGGAGGCAGCAGCUAAGAAUCUUCCGCAAUGGGCGAAAGCCUGACGGAGCGACACUGCGUGAAUGAAGAAGGUCGAAAGAUUGUAAAAUUCUUUUAUAAAUGAGGAAUAAGCUUUGUAGGAAAUGACAAAGUGAUGACGUUAAUUUAUGAAUAAGCCCCG